rnacentral:lncRNA from 1 species
CAUCUCUCCUUUCUCUUUUGUCGGAAUUUAAUCAAAGCAGCCUCUCUUUGAGCCAAGUGAUCACCACUUCUGCUUGCACUUCCACUCCCACUCCCACUGCCAAUUUCACAUUUUUCACCAGUUUCAUUUUCAGCAACCAAAUUUGUUCCUUCAGCAACUACAGCAGUGCUACUCCCAUUUUGGCCACUGCUUCCAUUUUGCCCAUUGCUUCCAUUGUUACUUCCUGAUGCACUUCCAUAAUUAGCAGCAUUUCCUUCAACAGGAGUACCUACCAUGUCAGAUGUUCCGCAAUCUGGAGCAGCUUCAACAUCAUUUCGCAAAGACGAAUCAUCAUUGUUAAGCAGCUGUUGUCGCUGCUGCAAGUUAAGCACAUGGUGGUGAUGGUGAUGGUAGUGAUGAUGGUGGUGCUGAACUUGGAACUUCUGGUGCAUCGCUCUUGCUUGGCUCACGGCUGCCUUUGCAGUAUCUUGUGUUCGUGGAACCAUAGCUUGAAGAGAAGAAUUAUGUCCAUGUUGCACUGGUUGAAAUGCAGAACAGGGAUGGGCAUUGACUGCAGGUUUGUUUAUUGGCUUGUCAGUUAAUGUGUUUGGUUUGCUGAAGAAAUUAUUUGUCGAGGAGCCCAUGUCAUUGUUGUUACUACUUCCAUUUGAGCACUGAUUAGGGGUACUGUUUGACUUCGAUCGCAAGUUAUGAAUUGAUUCUGCUUUUGCAACUUCUGAACAAUUAUUAACUGGUGAACAGCUGCCCACGUUUCCAGUUGGAGCCUGAUUAGCAGUUGAAGCAGCAUUAUACCUGCAUGUGAUGACAAUCUAUUAGCAAUUGUAGCUUCUUUACUCAGGUUGUUGAGUUUUAGUGACAGAUUAAACACAUGCCUAGAGAAUGCUGACAGAUCUGAAUGCCUGAGUAUAUUUCGCUCUUGAACACCAGUCCCAUUCUCUCCAACAUCUCGAAGUUGCUUCAAACUAAGUUCAAGUGAAGGCAUGUCUUGACUGUCAUAGGUGGCAAUUUCUUUUAUGUUUGUGAUCUUGAAAGGAUCAUUAGGAACUUCAUUGGCCAUACUUUCUACUUGAGGCGUACAUGUGUUGGUUAUGUCACCCAUAUAACCAACAUCCUUGUCCUUCAGGUCAUCUUCCCGAGUUUCCUUGUUCAGCUUUAGGUUUCUACCCAUAUUCUCAUUAUCCUUAGGAUCUAACUCCAAAUGUUUGUCCUUAAUAGAAGCUGCUAAACCAUCCAUUACUUUACCUGAUAGGCCUUCAAGCUCUGGAACAUUAGUGACACCCAUGUUCAAAUCUUUACCCAUUCUAGCAUUUCCUGAGAUGUAAACCACAUCAUGAAUAUAACAGAUUAUAUAAUAAC